GUAGCACCAUGAGUAGAUAGCCAAUCCAUCCCUAGAAUGACGUCAAAGUCUGUCAAAUCUAGAACCACAAGGUCGGCGGAGAGGCAUCUUCCCUCAACAAAAACUGAACUGUACUGGUAGACUGACUCUGCCACUGACGGGUCACACUUGGGUCCACUGACCCAUAGGGGACACUCUAACCCAGAGACUAUCAGACCCAACCUCUCAACGGCUCUCGGAGCAAUAAAUGAAUGAGAUGCACCCGGGUCCAUUAAUGCAUACACAUCAG
rnacentral:lncRNA from 1 species